AAUAGAUACCCAGGUAGUCCACGCCGUAAACGAUGUCGACUUGGAGGUUGUUCCCUUGAGGAGUGGCUUCCGGAGCUAACGCGUUAAGUCGACCGCCUGGGGAGUACGGCCGCAAGGUUAAAACUCAAAUGAAUUGACGGGGGCCCGCACAAGCGGUGGAGCAUGUGGUUUAAUUCGAUGCAACGCGAAGAACCUUACCUACUCUUGACAUCCAGAGAACUUAGCAGAGAUGCUUUGGUGCCUUCGGGAACUCUGAGACAGGUGCUGCAUGGCUGUCGUCAGCUCGUGUUGUGAAAUGUUGGGUUAAGUCCCGCAACGAGCGCAACCCUUAUCCUUUGUUGCCAGCGGUUCGGCCGGGAACUCAAAGGAGACUGCCAGUGAUAAACUGGAGGAAGGUGGGGAUGACGUCAAGUCAUCAUGGCCCUUACGGAGUAGGGCUACACACGUGCUACAAUGGCGUAUACAAAGAGAAGCGACCUCGCGAGAGCAAGCGGACCUCAUAAAGUACGUCGUAGUCCGGAUUGGAGU
rnacentral:rRNA from 1 species